rnacentral:rRNA from 1 species
ACCUAGGAGGCAGCAGUAAGGGAUAUUGGUCAAUGGGGGAAACCCUGAACCAGCAACGCCGCGUGAGGGAAGACGGUUUUCGGAUUGUAAACCUCUCUCCUCUGUGAAGAUGAUGACGGUAGCAGAGGAGGAAGCUCCGGCUAACUACGUGCCAGCAGCCGCGGUAAUACGUAGGGAGCGAGCGUUAUCCGGAUUUAUUGGGUUUAAAGGGUGCGUAGGCGGCAUUAUAAGUUAGUGGUAAAAUAUUGGGGCUUCACCUCACUACGCCAUUAAUACUGUAGAGCUAGAGAACAGACGAGGUAGGC